UUAAAAGAAUAAUGUUAUUAACAGAUGUCGAUACAGCUAGAUUAGUUUACUUCAGCUACUUCCAUAGUAUAAUGUCCUAUGGCAUUUUGCUAUGGGGCAAUGCGGCUGAUAUUAAUGUCAUUUUUAUUCUGCAGAAAAGGGCUAUCCAAUCUCUGAGAAAGAGAAAUUUAAAGAGAUCAACAUCCUGACCUUUGCAUCGCAGUAUAUUUAUGAAAAUAUAAUGUUCAUACGGAAAAAUAGGCAUUUAUUUGUUAGUCGUAGUGAUCGACAUGCCUCACAUGAUGUAACACUCAGGAACGACCACAAAUUAAUAUUUCCUAAAUGCCGGCUCAGGAAAAAAAGUAGUUCCUUUAUAGGAAUGUCUAUCUUAUUAUACAAUAAGAUUCCGGCUGCGCUUCAAUCUCUGCCUUUACUGAAGUUUAAAAAAAAUUACUUUGUGUAGUAAAGCCUAUUAUAACAUCAAUGAAUAUCUUAAUGAUGAAAAGGCAUGGGAUUGAAUAAAGCUCGACCAGGCUAUGUCUUUGAUCUCAAUCUGUAAAUAGAUAUAGUUAAAAUAUUGUGAGCAGGUGACAUGU
rnacentral:misc_RNA from 1 species